rnacentral:rRNA from 1 species
UUAAGCGACUAAGCGUACACGGUGGAUGCCCUGGCAGUCAGAGGCGAUGAAGGACGUGCUAAUCUGCGAUAAGCGUCGGUAAGGUGAUAUGAACCGUUAUAACCGGCGAUUUCCGAAUGGGGAAACCCAGUGUGAUUCGUCACACUAUCAUUAACUGAAUCCAUAGGUUAAUGAGGCGAACCGGGGGAACUGAAACAUCUAAGUACCCGAGGAAAAGAAAUCAACCGAGAUUCCCCAGUAGCGGCGAGCGAACGGGGAGCAGCCCAGAGCCUGAAUCAGUGUGUGUGUUAGUGGAAGCGUCUGGAAAGGCGUGCGAUACAGGGUGACAGCCCCGUACACAAAAAUGCACAUAUUGUGAGCUCGAUGAGUAGGGCGGGACACGUGGUAUCCUGUCUGAAUAUGGGGGGACCAUCCUCCAAGGCUAAAUACUCCUGACUGACCGAUAGUGAACCAGUACCGUGAGGGAAAGGCGAAAAGAACCCCGGCGAGGGGAGUGAAAAAGAACCUGAAACCGUGUACGUACAAGCAGUGGGAGCACGCUUAGGCGUGUGACUGCGUACCUUUUGUAUAAUGGGUCAGCGACUUAUAUUCUGUAGCAAGGUUAACCGAAUAGGGGAGCCGAAGGGAAACCGAGUCUUAACUGGGCGUUAAGUUGCAGGGUAUAGACCCGAAACCCGGUGAUCUAGCCAUGGGCAGGUUGAAGGUUGGGUAACACUAACUGGAGGACCGAACCGACUAAUGUUGAAAAAUUAGCGGAUGACUUGUGGCUGGGGGUGAAAGGCCAAUCAAACCGGGAGAUAGCUGGUUCUCCCCGAAAGCUAUUUAGGUAGCGCCUCGUGAAUUCAUCUCCGGGGGUAGAGCACUGUUUCGGCAAGGGGUCAUCCCGACUUACCAACCCGAUGCAAACUGCGAAUACCGGAGAAUGUUAUCACGGGAGACACACGGCGGGUGCUAACGUCCGUCGUGAAGAGGGAAACAACCCAGACCGCCAGCUAAGGUCCCAAAGUCAUGGUUAAGUGGGAAACGAUGUGGGAAGGCCCAGACAGCCAGGAUGUUGGCUUAGAAGCAGCCAUCAUUUAAAGAAAGCGUAAUAGCUCACUGGUCGAGUCGGCCUGCGCGGAAGAUGUAACGGGGCUAAACCAUGCACCGAAGCUGCGGCAGCGACACUAUGUGUUGUUGGGUAGGGGAGCGUUCUGUAAGCCUGUGAAGGUGUACUGUGAGGUAUGCUGGAGGUAUCAGAAGUGCGAAUGCUGACAUAAGUAACGAUAAAGCGGGUGAAAAGCCCGCUCGCCGGAAGACCAAGGGUUCCUGUCCAACGUUAAUCGGGGCAGGGUGAGUCGACUCCUAAGGCGAGGCCGAAAGGCGUAGUCGAUGGGAAACAGGUUAAUAUUCCUGUACUUGGUGUUACUGCGAAGGGGGACGGAGAAGGCUAUGUUGGCCGGGCGACGGUUGUCCCGGUUUAAGCGUGUAGGCUGGUUUUCCAGGCAAAUCCGGAAAACUAAGGCUGAGGCGUGAUGACGAGGCACUACGGUGCUGAAGCAACAAAUGCCCUGCUUCCAGGAAAAGCCUCUAAGCAUCAGGUAACAUCAAAUCGUACCCCAAACCGACACAGGUGGUCAGGUAGAGAAUACCAAGGCGCUUGAGAGAACUCGGGUGAAGGAACUAGGCAAAAUGGUGCCGUAACUUCGGGAGAAGGCACGCUGAUAUGUAGGUGAAGUCCCUCGCGGAUGGAGCUGAAAUCAGUCGAAGAUACCAGCUGGCUGCAACUGUUUAUUAAAAACACAGCACUGUGCAAACACGAAAGUGGACGUAUACGGUGUGACGCCUGCCCGGUGCCGGAAGGUUAAUUGAUGGGGUCAGCGCAAGCGAAGCUCUUGAUCGAAGCCCCGGUAAACGGCGGCCGUAACUAUAACGGUCCUAAGGUAGCGAAAUUCCUUGUCGGGUAAGUUCCGACCUGCACGAAUGGCGUAAUGAUGGCCAGGCUGUCUCCACCCGAGACUCAGUGAAAUUGAACUCGCUGUGAAGAUGCAGUGUACCCGCGGCAAGACGGAAAGACCCCGUGAACCUUUACUAUAGCUUGACACUGAACAUUGAGCCUUGAUGUGUAGGAUAGGUGGGAGGCUUUGAAGUGUGGACGCCAGUCUGCAUGGAGCCGACCUUGAAAUACCACCCUUUAAUGUUUGAUGUUCUAACGUUGACCCGUAAUCCGGGUUGCGGACAGUGUCUGGUGGGUAGUUUGACUGGGGCGGUCUCCUCCUAAAGAGUAACGGAGGAGCACGAAGGUUGGCUAAUCCUGGUCGGACAUCAGGAGGUUAGUGCAAUGGCAUAAGCCAGCUUGACUGCGAGCGUGACGGCGCGAGCAGGUGCGAAAGCAGGUCAUAGUGAUCCGGUGGUUCUGAAUGGAAGGGCCAUCGCUCAACGGAUAAAAGGUACUCCGGGGAUAACAGGCUGAUACCGCCCAAGAGUUCAUAUCGACGGCGGUGUUUGGCACCUCGAUGUCGGCUCAUCACAUCCUGGGGCUGAAGUAGGUCCCAAGGGUAUGGCUGUUCGCCAUUUAAAGUGGUACGCGAGCUGGGUUUAGAACGUCGUGAGACAGUUCGGUCCCUAUCUGCCGUGGGCGCUGGAGAACUGAGGGGGGCUGCUCCUAGUACGAGAGGACCGGAGUGGACGCAUCACUGGUGUUCGGGUUGUCAUGCCAAUGGCACUGCCCGGUAGCUAAAUGCGGAAGAGAUAAGUGCUGAAAGCAUCUAAGCACGAAACUUGCCCCGAGAUGAGUUCUCCCUGACUCCUUGAGAGUCCUGAAGGAACGUUGAAGACGACGACGUUGAUAGGCCGGGUGUGUAAGCGCAGCGAUGCGUUGAGCUAACCGGUACUAAUGAACCGUGAGGCUUAACCUU